GAGAAAUAACGUUAGAAGAAAUGUGGGGCAGCUUGAGGAAGGAGCAAGGAGGGUGGUACUUAAACACGGAAUAACAGGCCAACAGUGUAACCCGUCCAGUUGUACCAGAACAUCUCAAGAGGAAUGGGGACUUGAAGAGUCAUCUUUCAGCAAUGCCGAGAUGCAAGAUGAAAGAGCAGCAUUGGCCAAGUCUCCUUGUCUGCACUGACAGGUUCCCUCUGGACAGAUGUAUCUCCAAGACUCCAUGUCUCCCUACAACU
rnacentral:lncRNA from 1 species